UGCACUCAGUGGUGAUGAACUGGGGCAGUCUACAGAAGAAAAGGUUAAGAAUGUCUUGGAUGACAUUUUGGAGAAACUUCCAGAAGAGUUCAACAUGGCAGAGAUAAUGCAAAAAAAUUCAAAUAGAAGCCCAUAUGUUCUUGUUUGCUUCCAAGAAUGUGAGAGGAUGAAUAUUCUCAUUCGGGAAAUACGUAUAUCACUUGAACAACUGGACCGUAGUUUGAAGGUAAGCUUAAAGUGAGGCUAUAGUAGACUUCAGCACAUUGGAAGAUAUUCACUGUGUGGCUUUUUUUCUCCAUGCAAGGGGGAAUUGGCAUUAUCUCCUGCUGUGGAAGCCCAGCAGUUUGCAUUGAGUUAUGACACGGUACCAGACACUUGGAGCAAACUGGCUUAUCCUUCUACUUAUGGCCUAGCCCAGUGGUUCAACGACCUCCUCCUGCGAUGCCGAGAACUUGAUACUUGGACACAAGACCUUACCCUUCCGGCUGUCGUGUGGCUCUCCGGCUUCUUCAACCCUCAGUCCUUCUUAACGGCAAUCAUGCAGACGAUGGCUCGAAAAAAUGAGUGGCCACUGGAUAAAACGUGCUUGACUGUUGAUGUUACCAAAAAAACAAAGGAAGAUUAUGGCCACCCGCCAAGGGAAGGUGCAUACCUCCACGGACUCUUCAUGGAGGGCGCCCACUGGGACACCCAAGCAGGAACCAUUGUUGAAGCCCGUCUCAAGGAGCUGGCAUGCCCUAUGCCGGUCAUCUUUGCAAAAGCCACCCCCGUGGACAGACAGGAA
rnacentral:sRNA from 1 species